rnacentral:rRNA from 1 species
UNGACCUGGGCUACACACGUGCUACAAUGGGAAGUACAACGAGUUGCGAAGUCGCGAGGCUAAGCUAAUCUCUUAAAGCUUCUCUCAGUUCGGAUUGCAGGCUGCAACUCGCCUGCAUGAAGCCGGAAUCGCUAGUAAUCGCGGAUCAGCACGCCGCGGUGAAUACGUUCCCGGGCCUUGUACACACCGCCCGUCACACCACGAGAGUUUGUAACACCCGAAGUCGGUGAGGUAACCUUUUGGAGCCAGCCGCCUAAGGUGGGAUAGAUGAUUGGGGUGAAGUCGUAACAAGGUAGCCGUAUCGGAAGGUGCGGUUGGAUCACC